rnacentral:rRNA from 1 species
UUUAUGGAGAGUUUGAUCCUGGCUCAGGAUGAACGCUGGCGGCGUGCCUAAUACAUGCAAGUCGAGCGAACGAACGAGAAGCUUGCUUCUCUGAUGUUAGCGGCGGACGGGUGAGUAACACGUGGAUAACCUACCUAUAAGACUGGGAUAACUUCGGGAAACCGGAGCUAAUACCGGAUAAUAUUUUGAACCGCAUGAUUCAAAAGUGAAAGACGGUCUUGCUGUCACUUAUAGAUGGAUCCGCGCUGCAUUAGCUAGUUGGUAAGGUAACGGCUUACCAAGGCAACGAUGCAUAGCCGACCUGAGAGGGUGAUCGGCCACACUGGAACUGAGACACGGUCCAGACUCCUACGGGAGGCAGCAGUAGGGAAUCUUCCGCAAUGGGCGAAAGCCUGACGGAGCAACGCCGCGUGAGUGAUGAAGGUCUUCGGAUCGUAAAACUCUGUUAUUAGGGAAGAACAUAUGUGUAAGUAACUGUGCACAUCUUGACGGUACCUAAUCAGAAAGCCACGGCUAACUACGUGCCAGCAGCCGCGGUAAUACGUAGGUGGCAAGCGUUAUCCGGAAUUAUUGGGCGUAAAGCGCGCGUAGGCGGUUUUUUAAGUCUGAUGUGAAAGCCCACGGCUCAACCGUGGAGGGUCAUUGGAAACUGGAAAACUUGAGUGCAGAAGAGGAAAGUGGAAUUCCAUGUGUAGCGGUGAAAUGCGCAGAGAUAUGGAGGAACACCAGUGGCGAAGGCGACUUUCUGGUCUGUAACUGACGCUGAUGUGCGAAAGCGUGGGGAUCAAACAGGAUUAGAUAC